rnacentral:rRNA from 1 species
GAUUCCCCUAGUAACUGCGAGUGAAGCGGGAAAAGCUCAAAUUUAAAAUCUGGCAGUCUUUGGCUGUCCGAGUUGUAAUCUAGAGAAGUGUUAUCUGCGCUGGACCGUGUACAAGUCUCCUGGAAUGGAGCGUCAUAGAGGGUGAGAAUCCCGUCUUUGACACGGACUACCAGGGCUUUGUGAUGCGCUCUCAAAGAGUCGAGUUGUUUGGGAAUGCAGCUCAAAAUGGGUGGUAAAUUCCAUCUAAAGCUAAAUAUUGGCGAGAGACCGAUAGCGAACAAGUACCGUGAGGGAAAGAUGAAAAGAACUUUGGAAAGAGAGUUAAACAGUACGUGAAAUUGCUGAAAGGGAAACGCUUGAAGUCAGUCGCGUUGUCCAGGGAUCAACCUUGCUUUUGCUUGGUGCACUUCCUGGUUGACGGGUCAGCAUCAAUUUUGAUUAUUGGAAAAAGAUCAAAGGAAUGUGGCAUCUUUGGAUGUGUUAUAGCCCUUGGUUGCAUACAAUAGUUGGGAUUGAGGAACUCAGCACGCCGCAAGGCCAGGUUUUUAACCAUGUACGUGCUUAGGAUGCUGGCAUAAUGGCUUUAAUCGACCCGUCUUGAAACACGGACCAAGGAGUCUAACAUGCCUGCGAGUGUUUGGGUGGAAAACCCGAGCGCGCAAUGAAAGUGAAAGUUGAGAUCCCUGUCGUGGGGAGCAUCGACGCCCGGACCAGACCUUUUGUGACGGUUCCGCGGUAGAGCAUGUAUGUUGGGACCCGAAAGAUGGUGAACUAUGCCUGAAUAGGGUGAAGCCAGAGGAAACUCUGGUGGAGGCUCGUAGCGAUUCUGACGUGCAAAUCGAUCGUCAAAUUUGGGUAUAGGGGCGAAAGACUAAUCGAACCAUCU